GGCGGAGGGAAGCUCAUCAGUGGGGCUACGUGCUGAGUGCAUCCAGUCACUCUUCCACCGCCCUUGGGAAGGUCUGAGACUGGGGCCAAUAGCGGCCCUAACAGGGCCCUCCCUGAGCUCCGGGGAGGUGAGUUCCCAGAGAGCGGGGCUCCGCGCGAGGGCAGACUGGGCAGGAGAUGCCGGGAACCCGCCCUCGGGCAGGACCCGGCGGAUGCCUCCUUAGCCGGAGCUUGGAACAGACUCACGGCCGGCCAAGUGAGUUCAAUGGCUGAGGUGAGGCACCGCGCCCGCCGGGCCUCAUAACCCAAUUCAGACUACUCUCCCCCGCC
ensembl:ribozyme RNaseP_nuc Nuclear RNase P